AACGAACGCUGGCGGCAUGCCUAACACAUGCAAGUCGAACGAGACCUUCGGGUCUAGUGGCGCACGGGUGCGUAACGCGUGGGAACCUGCCCUUAGGUUCGGAAUAACUCCCCGAAAGGGGUGAUAAUACCGGAUAAUGUCUUCGGACCAAAGAUUUAUUGCCUUUGGAUGGGCCCGCGUUGGAUUAGCUAGUUGGUAGGGUAAAAGCCUAACAAGGCGACGAUCCAUAGCUGGUCUGAGAGGAUGAUCAGUCACACUGGGACUGAGACACGGCCCAGAAUCCUACGGGAGGCAGCAGAGGGGAAUAUUGGACAAUGGGCGAAAGCCUGAUCCAGCAAUGCCGGGUGAGUGAUGAAGGCCUUAGGGUUGUAAAGCUCUUUUACCCGGGAUGAUAAUGACGGUACCGGGAGAAUAAGCUCCGGCUAACUCCGUG
rnacentral:rRNA from 1 species